CUUAUUUUUCCCACUUUAUAUCUUGUUGUCUUGGGGUGUAGGGGGGGAAAGGUGUAUGACAUCUAGCAUGCAGAGUGACAGUCCUGUAGCAAAGCAAAUCAAUGCUGGAGAAUUUGCAGAAAGAAUUCAAUAGCACAAAGGUUUUUAGAAACUAUUUUUCUUUCCCUUUUUUUUCUACAGCAAUGAUUUCUAGCCAUUCAUCAUAAAGCACUAAAAAUCAAAGAGCAAUAUUCACGAGCCUCCUAGUACAGUAUGUUAAACCCCGAUAACUGUCAAGAAGAGCCUGUCUGAAAAGGAAGAGCCAGGUAGCAGCACAGAAAAACAAAAAACAUGUUGGGAGAAAAAGUUCUGAAGAAUAAAAGGAGAGAAAAUGUGCUAAGCAAAGGGGGUCUAGCAGUGCUCCUGUGUUAUAUUUGUCAUGCUGCCAUUUUGUUAACAAGAGAGAUAUAUUUACAACAGUGAAAAAUGUUGUGGGUUCUGGAGUUCUGUUUGCUUUCACAGAAUCCUGGAGUGACCAUGUAUGCCAGUGGUAGAUAAUGUUCUUACAAAUUGCUCUACUGGAUCCAGAAAUAUGUUAGUUCGAAUUUAUUCAACUAAUGUUUUAUGCGAACAUCUUUCAGCCUAGGGCUUGCCUAUGAACAGUUUGCUGUGAAGAUUUGAUAUUCAGAAUAUGAACUGUUUCCAGUAGAUGCAUAUUAGGAAAAAUUUCUUCAAAGGAAGGCUGUUGAGCAUUGGAACAGACUGCCCAGGGAAGUGGUGGAAUCACCAUCCUGGAAGGUAUUUAAACGAUGUGAACUUAGGGACAUGUUUUAGUGGUGAACUUGGCAGUGCUGGGUUAAUGGUUGGACUCAAUGUCCUUGAAGGUCUUUUCCAACCUAAACAAUGCUAUGAUUCUACAGGUAGUUCAUAAUAUGUCUCUAUUCUCUGUCUGGAAUCUUGUAAAUGUUGGCAUUGGAUAUUGAGACACACUCUCAGUUCUAAAAUUAAAACUCCUAUUCAAUGGAUGUUCUAUUGUAUUCUUUCAACACUACCCUUUGGUGAGAUACUGUCAUAAUACAGGUCUAGAAUAUUUCUCAAUAUAAUAUUAAAUAAUAAUUUCUCAGUAUAUUUCUCAGUUUAAGCAGGAAGUUGUCUUCUGCAGAAUACUCCUGACUCCAACUUUGGCAUUGUUGAGGCUUGAUGGCUGCUAGCAUGUUAAUGAGAACAGGGCUUCCCCAUAGACCUUCCAGAAGAGCACAUCUCUGAUCUACUUGAUGGACUCCCAACAUGUCUUCUUGUAGAGAUUCUCCAAAUCAUUACACAGGUUAACUCUCCCCCACCUGCCCACCAGUCACAGAAUUCAAACAAUGAGCCUCAAAUUAUGCUGAGAAUAAAUGGAGAUAAACAGCAAACCCAAGGAGACAAAUAAGACGAACACCUUGAAAAGGAACCAUUUUGCCUCUUUGUGUCAGGUCAUACAAAGGAAGGGGGAAAUCCUGAAAAUAUUGACAGGACAUGGCUUUGGGGACGCGUCCCCAUUCUGGUCUUGUUCUUCCUCAUUUGAAGGGAAAUAGUCAAAAGCAAAGGAUCUGCCAUGUUAUAUGAAGCUAUUGUCAAAAAAAACUUGUAAGGAGAGACCACCAGCCACUUUGGAAGGAAGUGAGUAUCCCCAGUCCGAUGAUGCUCAAAGUAUUUUAAGAAAGAAUGUUGCUUUUGUGUUUAAGCUGUGUAUCAGGAUACCAGUUGCUUUUGGCAAUGCAUAGAGGCCAACAGCAAGAACAUCAAAUAUCUGUGUGAGUACUUAAUUACAUAUUUCAUUCAGUGUAGUACAUCUC